GUCUCCGUAGUUUAGUCGGUAGAACUCCCGACUAUGCGGUAGAACUCGGGUUUGAGCCCCGCUGAAGGCA